rnacentral:lncRNA from 1 species
CAGUUAUCAUUCCCUCAGUGCAGCUCCACAGGGGAAAGUUUGGCUCAUCUGCCUCAUCUUCCCUAAUUACCUUUCCGCAGCGGCAGGCGGGAGGCGAGGAGCGGCUCUUCCCGCCGUCGGGCGGCGCUCGCUCUCCAGCACCGCCUCUCAGGCCCUCAGACCGGCAACCUCCAACCUCGGCGAGGGCUACGCCCUGUCUGGCCGCACACCCUGCGGCUGUGCCCGGCGGGAUGGCGAUCUGGCCGCUGCCCGUGGCGUGGCCUCCUCGGAGCCGCAGUGGCCCUCAGGCAGCCCCGGUCCCGGCCCGGCCCGGCCGCACGGCACCAUAGCAACCGCUGCCUCACGACGCCGGCCCGUCCCUAGCAACGGCGUCUCCUGGCGCCCCGCCCCUUCUGCCGCAAGUCUCGUGAGAUCUGGGUGCCACCGCCUCCUCCUCUGCGUGCUGGGCGGAUCUCGCGAGAGGAGGAGGCGGCGGUUGCCGGGCCUGGGAGCGGCGGACGGUGGCGGCGGGAGACGGUGGCUCGGCCGCGGCGCCGGGCGGAUUCUGUGCAAUCAUCAGCUCUUCACUUGUGGCUACUUUUUCAUUCUUGUAACCAGGUCAUUCUGAACUAUACAACUCUCUUGACACAAGUGUCACUUAUAGGUUGUGAGUGCUGCAUGUGUGCUUUUCAGAGCAGUAGUGUGAGGAAGCUGGCAGUGGAAUGGCAGGACGGCCUCAUCCUUAUGACAGUAACUCCAGUGAUCCAGAGAAUUGGGAUCGGAAAUUGCAUAAUAGACCUCGUAAACUUUGUAAACAUUCAAGGUAGGUGCUAUGUACAAUCUGUUGCAUCUCAAAAACUACAAUGAAAGUCCAUUCUAAAGGCUACUGUAUCUGGUUGUGGCAAGUCCUGCCAUAAACUUGGUAGUUCUUCUUAAAAGGAAUGCUUCUUAAUCCUUUUAAAAGAUAUUUUCUAACGUAACUGAUAUGUCAGCUUCCCUAAUCUGUGCU